rnacentral:rRNA from 1 species
CCUACGGGUGACAGCAGUGAGGAAUAUUGGUCAAUGGCCGGGAGGCUGAACCAGCCAAGUCGCGUGAGGGAAGACGGCCCUACGGGUUGUAAACCUCUUUUGUCAGGGAGCAAGGUGCAGGUCGGGACCUGCUGUGAGAGUACCUGAAGAAAAAGCAUCGGCUAACUCCGUGCCAGCAGCCGCGGUAAUACGGAGGAUGCGAGCGUUAUCCGGAUUUAUUGGGUUAAAGGGGUGCGCAGGCGGAGGCAAAAGUCAGAGGUAAAAUCGCGGGGCUCAACCCCGCUCCGCCGUUGAAACUGUGUGCCUUGAGUGCGCGAAGGGUAGGCGGAAUGCGUGGUGUAGCGGUGAAAUGCAUAGAUAUCACGAAGAACUCCGAUCGCGAAGGCAGCCUACCGGCGCGCAACUGACGUUGAUGCACGAAAGCGUGGGUAUCGAACAGGAUUAGAUACCCCAGUAGUC